CGGCAUUUGACAGAUUUCAACGGUUGUGACUGAAGGCCUUGUUUUGAGGGUGUUUUGCAGACCAGUGCUUGUCGGCCUGGGGAUUUUCCAGAAAAACUGUAGACUGCCCCCUUAAGGUUUAGGUCUGAGAGUGUAUGCCAGAGUGUCUGCCUGUGCUAACCCUGCUGUGGUUCUGACGAAUUGACUGUCCCUGGCUUCCUUGUCUGUCAGCCGUACCAGUCGUUUAGAAGCUUUCGGCGCCUCGGAACUUGCACUGGAAACUCCAGGUUGUGACUGAAGGCCUUGUUUUGAGGGUGUUUUGCAGACCAGUGCUUGUCGGCCUGGGGAUUUUCCAGAAAAACUGUAGACUGCCCCCUUAAGAUUCAUCUGUGCUUAAGACCCUGUGACUCAUGGCCGCUGCUUUUUUUUCGAGUUUUCCCCCGGAUCAGCUUGUAGUGAAACUGGAAGCUGUUCUGGGUGAAAAGAGUUUAGGUCUGAGAGUGUAUGCCAGAGUGUCUGCCUGUGCUAACCCUGCUGUGGUUCUGACGAAUUGACUGUCCCUGGCUUCCUUGUCUGUCAGCCGUACCAGUCGUUUAGAAGCUUUCGGCGCCUCGGAACUUGCACUGGAAACUCCAGGUUGUGACUGAAGGCCUUGUUUUGAGGGUGUUUUGCAGACCAGUGCUUGUCGGCCUGGGGAUUUUCCAGAAAAACUGUAGACUGCCCCCUUAAGGUUUAGGUCUGAGAGUGUAUGCCAGAGUGUCUGCCUGUGCUAACCCUGCUGUGGUUCUGACGAAUUGACUGUCCCUGGCUUCCUUGUCUGUCAGCCGUACCAGUCGUUUAGAAGCUUUCGGCGCCUCGGAACUUGCACUGGAAACUCCAGGUUGUGACUGAAGGCCUUGUUUUGAGGGUGUUUUGCAGACCAGUGCUUGUCGGCCUGGGGAUUUUCCAGAAAAACUGUAGACUGCCCCCUUAAGGUUUAGGUCUGAGAGUGUAUGCCAGAGUGUCUGCCUGUGCUAACCCUGCUGUGGUUCUGACGAAUUGACUGUCCCUGGCUUCCUUGUCUGUCAGCCGUACCAGUCGUUUAGAAGCUUUCGGCGCCUCGGAACUUGCACUGGAAACUCCAGGUUGUGACUGAAGGCCUUGUUUUGAGGGUGUUUUGCAGACCAGUGCUUGUCGGCCUGGGGAUUUUCCAGAAAAACUGUAGACUGCCCCCUUAAUUUUAACACAUUUUAACGUGCUAGUUGUAGACAGAAAAUGCGAGACGGAGAUGGCACAAGCCGAUAAAUGCCAAUCCACAGACAUCUUAGGCAUCAAUAUGGAAGGAUGUUGGUGCAACAAAGACCUCUGUAACAGCGCCCUGGGCGUUUCUGCAAGAGUCUCCCUUAUUUUGGGUCUGAUUGUCAUGUCUAUAUUCUAUCUGUAAAGAAGUAAUCGGGGGCGAGGUGGUGAGAUGCAAUGUGUUUAGCACACGACUGAUGAAAUGUGUUUAGCGCACGGCUUAUGAAAUGUGUAAAGCAAACGGCUUUGCUUGAUUAUUUUUGUUUGAAAAGAUAGUUGUAACAUCGACUUAAACUUUCAUUAUUUUUGUAUUAAGUAUAUUUCAUUUUUGGAUGUAUCGAUUCUUAUUAUUACGUUUCUCUUUGUAAUCAUGAUAUCCAUUCUCGCUGUCUUUGUGGAGAUUUGAUUUUUCUAUUGAAUAGUAACGUUCGUCGUUUGUAAGCUUUGAUUAAAUCUGGAAUAAAAUUUUUCUCCAA